rnacentral:ncRNA from 1 species
UUUUUGCAAACACGAAGGUGAAAAGGGAAUCAGGUGAAAGACCUGAACUGUUUCCGCAGCUGUAAGUUCCGUAUCGUUCUUUUGCAAAACCCUGUAUCACUGUUCGUUAGAACGGGAAGAUGGCAAAAGAAUGGAACAAGUCAGAAGACCUGCCAACUCUGAUA